rnacentral:lncRNA from 1 species
UUUUCUAUUAGCGGAUAAGCUUCAUAUAUUAAAAGACUCUAGAUAAUAUAAGGUCUAAGGAAAUUCUCUCUCUCUAUAUAUAUAUAUAUAUAUAUUUUUUUUUGGAUUACAAGACUCUAGAAAACAUACAAAUAUCUUUAGGUUUACCUCGUCUCCUUUAAUACCGUUUGCUAUCAGACCGACAAAUUGGUCUACAUGGAUGUUGAUAUACGACAUUAUCAAACCAUUUCAAGUAAUAUUUUCUCAAUUCAUUUUAAUAUGUAUUAUUUACACGUUCAGUCGAACAUAAUUUUAAUGUCUAAAACUUGUACAAUCGAACAUGCAUAUUAGCAUCCGAUCAAGCUAUAUUACCAGUAAGAAAAGGAGUAAAUAAUGUUGACUAAGAACAACAAGGAAAUAUGACUACAACUUAUCAAAAAUAUUGUAUCGUGACAAGCCACUGCCUUGAAAGCGAUUUCGGCCCGAUUGGGUGCAAAUCGUUAAGGCCGGUCGCUCCCCAAAGUUCCACAGCACCUCCAAACACGUGCACUCGUGGCUGGAAGUUUAGAAUUUGCACAAAAAUAGUUGCCCAUGAAGAAGAGAAGAUGAAGGGCUUUUAUGUGUUGCAUAAUUCAAAAAGAAAACUAGGAAGAAAGGAAUGAUUAGCUAGAUGUAUUCUUGGUUGAU